CGGGAUGUGGCGCAGUUGGUAGCGCACUACGUUCGGGACGUAGGGGUCGCUGGUUCGAGUCCAGUCAUCCCGACCG
rnacentral:tRNA from 1 species